GCGUAAUUGGUUUAGUGGUAAAAUUCUCCGUUGCCAUUCAAGCAGCGCUCGGGGAGCCCUGGGUUCGAUUCCCAGAUUACGCA